CCCAGUGUUUGGACUAGAAGCAAGCAGUACCAUGACCAACUAUUGCACACGGCUUCUGAGGGCUGAGCUCAGGUCACUAAGCAAGCACAAAUGGGCAGGAGGAGGGCUCCUGAUGCCUCCAAAGGAAGGAAAUCAUUACAGGGCCCUACAGAAGUAGGUCGUGUGCUACAGCUGCUCAUAGUUUGGGAGGAAGAAACAUCGGACCUCAAACCUGGAACACGACUCUUUCAAAACGUUUGUGAGCAGCCCAAGAAAAACAUCCUCCCGAGUCUUAUCUAAUAAGCGUGAUCUCUAAUCGCCUCAGUGUGUGCCCGGCUUGCGUUAAGACUUUGCACCUAACUUCCCCGGGCUUGGGGAAUGCUGGGGCAGAACACAGAGAGCCUUAAUGAAGGGGAUUUAAUAGUUUGUGUUAAAGCUAAUAUGGUCCAUUAGGAGCUGUCAUUUUUAUAAACAAUGGAGAUAUGUUACCCUCUUCUAGGGUGGAAAGUCAUUCCUCGCAAGACCUUGUAAACAUUCAGUAACAAUCUGUGGAACACGCAUGACCGACAAUUAAAGCACCCGCCUAGAAAGCGGGAUUCCCCUCACAUAUUUGGUUUCUGGCUAAAUAAACUCAUAAAGAUCA